rnacentral:rRNA from 1 species
UACGUAGGUGGCAAGCGUUGUCCGGAAUUAUUGGGCGUAAAGCGCGCGCAGGCGGUUUCUUAAGUCUGAUGUGAAAGCCCACGGCUUAACCGUGGAAGGUCAUUGGAAACUGGGAGACUUGAGUGCAGAAGAGAGAGCGGAAUUCCACGUGUAGCGGUGAAAUGCGUAGAGAUGUGGAGGAACACCAGUGGCGAAGGCGGCUCUUUGGUCUGUAACUGACGCUGAGGCGCGAAAGCGUGGGGAUCAAACAGG